UGAGAAUGAGGCAUUCAUUGGCUGCUCAAUAAUCCAGUACAUUAAGGUUGCGGGUCCAGAAGUCCCUUUAAUUAACAAUGGUUCCGCCAAAAUGCUGCCCUGAGACACUUGACCAGACUGGCUUUCCAAGGCAAGAAGAUCUGAGAAGAGGAGAACUGAAAACAAAGCGGGUUCAAAAAGAGUUAAGCUCCUUCCUUACUUAAUGCCACCGCUUUCCUGAGAGGCCAGGUGGCAGGAUGUGGGACGACACCGGCUGACAAAGACAGUCUAACCCUGGGGUAGGGGCUGGAGCAGGCGCCAGCGACCCACGUCUACAUGCAUACUUCUCUUUCACUGCUGCAGCUGGAAACGCUAGACCCCGCGCCAGGACCCCAGCCCCAUGCACGGACCCCUCAGCGUCUGGGAAGCUGUCUCUCGGACUGAAGCCCCUCACCUCCGCCGGGCUGGCGGCCACUGCAGUACCCUACUCCCCGUCGGGCUGGACCCGCACCAUUUGGGAAAAAGCCGCAGCGCUUCUGCAAGGUCUACGUGGCCAUGAGCAUGCAACGCUUGGCUCUCAAAAAGAUACGAAAGGAGCAAAGCAUCAACGACCACCCGAUCAGAGGGCCCGAGGGGCGCCUCUUCACCAGUCAGCUGCAGCUUAAGUUCCGUGCAUUAUCCGAAAGGAACAGCUGGCUGGAGGUAUCCAGGGCUGUCACUCCAACCUCUGGAGCGGUGACCUCAACUCCCAGCACUUCAAAACCCAGACAGAAACAAACAUCCAACAAACUCCCACUCCAGGAGCGCUGCAAAACCAACGCCAGAGAAAGGUCUGUAUGCCUCCUCUCUUUCUUCAAUCUCGUUUCAAGGAAGAAAUGUCCAUGAACCUCUCCAAGGUCCACUGCAACCCCCGUGGCCAGGAUCCAACAGGUUCCCAUUUCUCCUGUGCUUCACUCCAUCAGAAUUUUCAGCACAGAGGUCUGGAAAUCAGUACAUUUAACACAUAGUUUCUGGUGAUUCGUAUAAGCAAUUGCAAGAGAACCUGCUUCAGGUGGUCUAAAUGAAAGAGUCCGAGUCCUGUGCUUAGGUAAUAUUUAGCUACUGGUUUAUAGUUAUGGAUGACAUUAUUCCAUUGGCUUCAAGAGGGCACUUCAUAAAAUUCCUAACUUACUGAUUCAAAUUUUAAUAUAUCCGUGGAGCACUGUGUGCUCACGGCAGGUGAGGAUAGAGGUGAGAAGACCCAGCAACUCCCUGGACAUCCAUAUGUGUUAAUCAGCCAGGUAUUUACAUUGUUUCCCUAACUUGGCUUUAGUUCCCCUCAGCCUUUCCGGUGUUGGUCACAGAUCGUGGUUAUGGAGGAGGUGUCUUCAAAAGCAUCAAGGAAAAAAUAUCAAAUAUUUUGAUAUUUGAUACCAAAUAUCAAAAUUUGCCGUGGUGCCCAGCAUGGUUCAAGAUCAGAAGUGUCAAGCACAUCUGGUAAGGGAGAUAAUAAUAAUUCAAGGGCAAAUGAAUUGCCCCAUGGACAGUGGAUUACAGUAUGGAUUUGUUUGGACCAUUUAUCUUUUCUUUUGAAUUGACUUAACUCAUUCGCAGAAGAUAAGCAGGAAAUCAGAAGCACUCCUAGGGAUUGGCACUGGUCUAAAUGACAGCUCUAAGGAGAAGCUUAGAUACCAGAUUCAUCUUCCAUCCAGCAGAAGCUCCCCAGGGAUAAAACUGCAAGGUUAAAUGUGAAACUCAAAAUUUGAAACAAAAGGCUCGGCCGGGCGCGGUGGCUGAAGCCUGUAAUCCCAGCACUUUGGGAGGCGGAGACGGGCGGAUCACGAGGU